GAUCCUGGCUCAGAAUCAACGCUGGCGGCGUGCCUAACACAUGCAAGUCGCGCGCGAAAGCCCCCGCAAGGGGGCAAGUAGAGCGGCGCACGGGUGAGUAACACGUGGACAACCUACCUUCGAGUGGGGAAUAACCUCGCGAAAGCGAGGCUAAUACCGCAUACGAUCUCCAGGCGGCAUCGUUUGGAGAGGAAAGCAGCAAUGCGCUGGAAGAGGGGUCCGCGGCCGAUUAGCUAGUUGGCGGGGUAACGGCCCACCAAGGCGAUGAUCGGUAUCCGGCCUGAGAGGGCGCACGGACACACUGGAACUGAAACACGGUCCAGACUCCUACGGGAGGCAGCAGUGGGGAAUUUUGCGCAAUGGGGGAAACCCUGACGCAGCAACGCCGCGUGGAGGAUGAAGGGCCUCGGCUCGUAAACUCCUUUCGACCGGGACGAGUAGAAGACGGUACCGGUGGAAGAAGCCCCGGCUAACUACGUGCCAGCAGCCGCGGUAAUACGUAGGGGGCGAGCGUUGUUCGGAAUUAUUGGGCGUAAAGCGCGUGUAGGCGGUUCGGUAAGGCGGAUGUGAAAACCCUGGGCUCAACCCAGGGCCGGCAUCCGCGACUGCCGGGCUGGAGUACGGGAGGGGAGAGCGGAAUUCCUGGUGUAGCGGUGAAAUGCGUAGAUAUCAGGAGGAACACCGGUGGCGAAGGUGGCUCUCUGGACCGUAACUGACGCUGAGACGCGAAAGCUAGGGGAGCAAACAG
rnacentral:rRNA from 1 species